UGUGACUCUCCCACAGCGUCCGGUCCUGGCUGAAGUUAGAAGAGCUACGCUUUCACAUCCCGCAUCUAAGAUGCGGUACAAAGCACGAGGCCCUGAGCCCAAGAAGCCGAGUGUUCCUGCGGAGGGGGAGUUUUUGGGAAUUCGCAGCACUACUUCUAAGGGGCCAUUAAUCUCUCUCCCGCCCAGGGCUCCAGGACCCUCAACUUGUUCGAGGGCUAGGAGAAAGGGAAGCUGUGGAAACCUGCAAGCAGGUUUAAAUCCGAGCCCUACUGGGGCCACCCCAAGGCUUGAAAUCACCUCUCCACUCUGGAUGCUGGAGUUAAGGCUCUCGUUCCUCACCUGGGGUUUGGAAUAUGCCCAGAGUAGGAUUUCAGAGCUGGAAGAGGCCUCAUGUUCUGGAAAAGACGUGUGUGGUCCAAGCCCUCCUGCCUGAGACAGCAGUCAGAGAGGGAAAGACUGCCCCGGAAUGGAUUUAGGAACCCAGGACUCUUGACAAAGACUGCUAAUUCAGCAGCUGGCAGCUGGGGAGCGGACUGCCUGAUUCCUCUGCGGUUCCACAGUUUCUCCAGGGAGGAUUGGAGAGUCCUGGGUGCCUCCCUGUGGGAUGGUGGCACCCUCUGCUGGUCGUGAGCCUUGUGGUGGAACUAUCUCCAGACUCAAAGCCGUCUGGUGCUCGGCGCCACCUGGAAACCUUGCCAUAUUUUGGGAUCCCAUACAGCAUUUGUUCCUCCAGGAGGAUCUGUAGUGAGCUGGUAACUGAGUUCACACUGAGGAAGUUGUGAGGAGGGAGAUGCUGCCGGUUAAAAGUACUCCACAGCACGGCUCCAGAGCUCAGCCUUCUCUGCCCCACCUCCUCUUAUGCCACGCCCCUUGCCUAGCAUCUGUUCCCCUCCUCCAAUUAGCCUUACCCAGGCCUCCUGCCUCUCCAGAAUGUCCCUUACCUCCUCAUGCCUCUUAGCAAAUCCCCUGUGGAUCUGCUCCUGAGAAAUCUAUACUUCGUCUGCAACU
rnacentral:lncRNA from 7 species